GGAGAUAGCUGUAGUUCAGUGGCAGAGCAUAUGCUUGGCAUGCAGAAAGUCCUGGGUUCAAUCCCCAGCAUUUCCA
rnacentral:tRNA from 1 species